GUGAGAGGGAGAAACCUGCCGCGGCUCUCCGCCUCUUUGUCUGCUCUGGGACUUGGAACAAAAGGGAGAACUCUGAUGAACUCCUUCUCCCGCUCCCUGGACGCCCGGGAAUCUCUUUCUCGCAACUUUGUCAACGCGACUCUCUCCGCUGUCAGGCUGCGCAAAAGUGUCCCAGCGCCUCGCAGGCUCCAACAAUGGAAACAGUGUCCCUUCAAAGUGCGACGAAGUGGGGGGAGAAGGUGUCAUUACCAGCAGCUCCAAGUGUCCCGUCAUGCUUAGCCGGAGUACUUCCGACUGAUCUGCCUUCAGAUUGUUCCCAUUGGAUAUAUACCUACCAGCCAGUGGCAUGGACGUGCCGAGGAGUUAGCCCUGGAUGAAAGACCACCAACUUCUUCCUUCGGAGUUUCUUUGGUUAAAUUGUUGGGAUGUUUGGCAAGGCUUUCAUUAUGUGGAUUACUGCAGUGUGAUGACUGGGGAUUCUUCACUUCUAAAAGGCAUCUUCUAAUUUGGCUCUAACAUAUGGUGUGAAUGACUGACUGAUGGCCGUCCAGUGACCAGCUGGGAUUUACUGCCUCAUAGGGCAUGCAUGUAUGUGAUGAAGGGAUAUACACGAGUGACUGCAGGAUUUACUUCCUUCCUGUCCCUCAAGGUUACUGAAGGGAGUGGGUUAGGGGACAACAUACAAUAGGACAGGCUCUACCUCAAGACAACCCUGGUCAAAACAGGAAGAUGAAACUCGGGUUUCAACGGGGAGACCGCAGCUUGGGAUUCUGUCUGAACACACCUCUUAAUUAUAAGCAGAAAAGUCUUCCUACUUUUCCAUUUCCAACCCCUGCACCCCCAAGGAGAUGUCUGCUGAAAGGUGAAAGCAUCUAGGGGAGUCACUGUUUGCUGAGCUCUACCUGAGAAUGUGAUGUUUUGACAGCUUCAGCUCCAGACUUGGUAUCAGGCGUUAUCAGCUGAAGGUUCCUGUUGCAAAAUGAGACGAUUGUCCAUCAUUCUCAGAAGAUAAACUGUCACCCCUAUUACUAGUUCAGACGGCGGCCAGUGUGGCCCUCCAUCUUGUUCUCCGAAGUUGUGGAGGACCCCUGUGGGGCUGUGACCCACAGGUUGAGAAUGACUCAUCUAAGGACCACAAUGAGGGCAAAGUCUGGGAAGAAAGACUAACUUGCUGUGUUAUUGGAACAUCGAGGAGUAUGGGACACAGGUUUGGCAGGAUUUCAGAGUCAUUCCGAUUAACUCAGAAUGACGUGUCAGACCUUCUCUCCCUGAAAGUAAAGUCCUCUUCUGAAGGAAGCCGUGCAGAGCCUGCAACUCUUUAAGCCCCACUGCAGCUUGGUUGAUGGUCGGCCUGCACCAGAUGUAAGUGAAAAAAAAAAUGGCAGCCCGGUCCAAGAGCAGGUAGCCUAGAAGAAGAAGAAGAAGGUAGACCAGCCCAGAGCUUGGAUCUUCCUCCCAUGCUCAGGAAUUGCCAUCAAUACUAUUACAUUGGGUCUCUUCUUGUUUUCCUCUGGAAGACACAUGUGUCCUCUGUUUGUGACAGUUUGGUUAUGGUUGUUAGCUCCUCCUGCACAUUGUUUUCAGGACUUAAAGAAACAUUGCUUUAAAGGUUUAUCAAGAUGUGUUUAAAAUAAAAAUUUUCCUCCUCUUGUUUAGUAUGCAAUUGAUUCUUGCAAUUUCCUCAGUCAAACUUUUUAUUGAUCAAAUUUACUCUUUGAGAAAUCUAUAAAUGUUAUUCUCGACUUUUCUCACACUCUCUAUGUCCUUUCCAGCUGUCACCCUUCCUCCUUCAUAUGGGUCCAUUUCACACAUUCAUGUAUUUUUGUUUUAUAAACCAUUGCUUUUAACCAGGGCCAUCUGUGUUACCAAGGGCAUAGAAUUAUUCACUAGAGCUUGGUUGGCUCACAAUAAGGAAAAUGACUUUCCUUUUUCCAAAGUCCACCAUAGCUAAGAAUUCAGCCCCAUCAUCCACCUCUCCAAUCCAUAAUUGAUGGUUGGGGAGCCCAGUCCUGGGAAGGUUCAUUGCAGGCACAAUGGAUAGCUGCAGUGGGAUCAUGUCUUGACGAUAGUAGCAUUUUGUAGCCCUUUUCCCUGUCUUCCAUGUCCAUGUAUGUUAUGUUCCUUGAGCCCUAGAUGAGAUAGUAUGAAUGUCCUGUCAAUCUGUCCAGGUGGUAGUAUAUGAGUUCAUUUAGAUGAAAUAAAGGCAAUAACCGAUGGGAAACAUAUUCUAAGCACUGGACAUGCUACAGAAAGUCCAGAGAAUAACAAAAAUCCAACAGUUCAGUAUAAACUCAAGGUUAUUGUUCUAUGUCAGUGUCAGUAGUGUGUGAGUUCUGAAGGAUCUGUAUCACUGUUAAGUUAAAAAUUAUCUGCUCUUAUUUGCUUUCAGUGGAUUUGUCCAGAUAGCUGGUAAGAAACAAACAAACAAACAAACAAAAAAACAAACAAUUAGGACAUAAAGAAUAUAGCGGGAAUGUGCUCUGUAAGAUAAUUGCAAACCACUUAUGGGUAUCAGUACAUAGGAAAACAAUAAAAAAAAAUCUCAUCUCUGGCUACUUAUUCAGCAUUAACUUUGCAGGGGUUGUGGGUUGUAGUUUUGACCUAGAAUCCUUAAAGAACUGGGAUGUGUGUCUUUGCUGCUUUAUCAUAUCUGGUUAUGGGAAAUUAGUACUCAACAUAUGUUAAUUGAGAUCUUAGAUAGAUGGAUGUUGUUAUAAUUGGGAAAUAGGCUGUAAUAUAAUGUUUAGGGAUUUUCCUUUUUUUAUGUUUGCAUAACUGUGUUACCUUGCAAUAUGAGCUUUUUAUUCACAAUAUUAUGUCUAAUUGAGUUAAGAUACCACACAGUGUAGUGGAAAAAUAUCUACUAGAUUGUCUUAAAUAGCAUUGUCUACUGCUGGUGUGUUCUGUAAGUAGCAAGUGUUGUAGAUAACUCAAUAUGUGUGCUUUUUUUCAGUGAUGCAUAUCAGGGCGAACAUUUCCAUUUUACUUAGGAAUCUUUUUUUCCUUUCAUGCUACAGUGGACCCUACAGAAUCCUGAUCCACCAUACAACUUACUACCUAAGAGAUUUCCUUUAGGAUGUUGAGAGUAGAUUGGGCUUUUAUAUAAUAUUUAUUUUCAAAGUCAGAUUAAAGCACUACUGGAAUACUGUACAUUUGCAUCUUUAAUUGUUCUGCAGUUCUUUUUAUGUCUGUAGGAUUGGGGGUUUGGCGCUCAGAGUUCUUCAAGCCCAGCUGGAAGUUGGUUCUGAAGCUGUAGGUCACAACCCCUUUGGGGUCACAUAUCAGAUAUUUACAUUAUGAUUCAUGACAGAAGCAAAACUGCAGUUAUGAAGUAACAACAGAAUAAUUUUAUGGUUGGGAGUCACCACAACAUGAGGAACUGUAUUAAAUGGUCACAGCAUUAGGAAGCUUGAGAACCACUGUUCUAGGCCAUAUCCACUAACCGUCAACAACCAGAGGAUGUACAGUGAAUAAGCCCAUGUCUUUGCCUCCUCACAACGGCCAGCCUUUUUAUUGUGCACUUCAUAUUGGUCAUCAUUGGAUACACUCACGGAUCCAUUAUGUUACAGAAACAACCACAGCAUGAACACCAUUGAAAACAAUUUGUUGGUGUACUUGGAAGAUGGCACUGUUGGUGAGGGGCUGCCUCACAACCACUAGUAUCCGAGUUAACAUUAUGAACAUCUACCUAAAAGUCAGGGUCCAUAGUGCAAGUCUUAAAUCCCAGGGCUGAACGCGAACACAUGCAGAUCCCUGGAAUACACUGGUGGGCCAGGCUUGAAGAAUCAACAAACUCCAGGCUCAGUAAAAGACCUCAUCUCAAAAAAUAAGGUGAAAACCAAUCAAGGAAGGCACCUGAUGUUGACCUCUAGUCUCCAUACACAUGUUUACACAUGUGCAUAUACAUGUAUACACACACGGGGGUGUGGGGAUUUCUUAGGGUAUCUAUUACUAGAUUGACAGACCAUUUUCCCUGAUAAGAAGUCUGAUUGAUGGACCAGUUUUCCAAAUGGUUUGCCCACUAGCUCCAUAUCCUUAGGCUUCACAGCUCACCUAUUUUUUUUGCUAAUAAUGACUGUACAGUACAACCAAUGUUGAGAAAUAUCUUUCCCGGUGUUUAAUGAUUAAGAAAGUCCCAGUGGUUCACACGGGUUGUUGUUUGUAGCCACUCUAGGGUGACGCUGUGCAACAUGACUCAUUUCUGGGGCAAGGAGAAAAGAGAGCUGUGAACGUUUUGUGAAUGAGAAUGCAGGACAAGCAGGAAGCCAUGUACUUGGAGUUAGGGCUUCCUAGAGGUAUUGUUAGGAGGGUUUUCUCCUUCUUUGUAUGUAUCUAUGUGCUCUACAUGUGAUUGUUUUUUUUUUCUCUGAUUCUCCAAUUUCUACUCAUUCUUCUCCCAUUGUUGGCAUUUGUUUCCUUUAUUUUUGAUGCAAGUGGGUGGUCUUAGGUAGACAUUAACUAUACAUAUCAAUGUGCUCUGACUGCUUGAGUGGUGUAGCCUCUAAAUAGUUCCUCAUUUGGAUCUAAAAAAGUAGUAUUUACUGAUAAAAUGUCUCUAUUUUAUGUCAUUUAAAAUAUUGGUAAAACAUCAGAUUGUGGCAAUCUUGGGUUUUCUGAUGAGGAAGUGACUGUCCCUUUCUAUGUCAUUUCCUGGCUCUGAAACCGUGUUUAUUCCAAGCCCCUUUGUUAAGGAGUCAAAAUAAAGGCCUUUGAUACUGGGGAGUCUGUCCCUGACUCAUUAUUAGUGGACAUGGUAUGUCUGGCUGGCUGGCAGUUUUUCUCUAUGUGCUAAGGUCAGCCUCCUGUAGUAUUUCACAACCUUCCCCAAACCUUGUGCAUCAGUGAGAAUCAAAGAAUUCGUUAGAGUGAAAAACAAAAUCUUGGCUUGGAGUAGUCAGAUGAGCAAUCCCCUAAGCAAGUCAGGGUGACAUGGGACUUAGAUUACACCAUGGUCAGUGCUUAUCUGUCAUUCUUUGGGAGAAAUUGUCUUUUGGCAAAAGUAUUCUUUAAAUUUUAUCCUUACUGUAGGGAAUCAUCUACGAUUUUAUUUUUCUCAUUGAUGGGGUUUGGAUUAGUAUUAUUUAGUAGAGAAGGCACUGAGUGGUCAGGUAAAAGUCCCAUGCAGACACUCACAAGGAUAUCUCAUCUCUGAGGUGGGAAUAACUAUCUGACUCACAGGGUUGAUGUAAAAGAUAAUGUGUAAACCCACCUUCAUAUAGACUCCAAUUCAGAUAAAAGGUUCUCCCGCUCUUUGAGUUUUUUUUUAAUGUUUAUUUUUAUUUUAUUUAUGUAUAUGUGCUUGUAUAUACCAAUCUGUGUAGGUACCUGUACAGACUAGAAGGGGGCAUGAAAUUCCCUGGAACUGUAGUUAGAGAAAGUAGUGUGCUGCUCAAAAUGGAUGCUGGGAACUAAACUCAGGUUCUCUGGAACUGCUCUUAACUACUGAACCAUCUCUCCUCCCACACGGGCUUCUGUUCUUAGGGACCAGAAAAGCUUUCUUAUGUCAUUUAUGUGAAGGUCAAAUUGGUGGUGAGACUUUUUUAAAAUUACGUCAUGAUCUCAAAAGGAACGAUUGGGACACUUUUCACCCUCUCUUUGUCUCUGCAAGGCAAUAUGCAUAUGCAUGCUAUAUGGAAAAUAUUUGUUUCUUGACUGUGGAAAUGAAAAUGGAACAGAAAUUGAGUGCCCCACCAUUCUUCCAAUAGACUGUGGUCAUUUUAGUCUGAAUAGAAUGCUGUUCCUGUCACUUAUCCUGUUUUCAUUCUUUUUUUUUUUCAAGCAGUGGGGAAUUUCCUUAGACUCCUUGCUGAUUUUGAUGGACACACACAUACUUAUCUUUAUAAAAAGAAAAGUGUUUAUGUCAGGAAAAAAAAAUGCAAUCUCUUUUUUAAGACCAGGAAAUGGGUACACCAAUGUAGAAAGCUAUAAAUAAAAUAUAACGUUGAGAACAAAAUGAUUGUGGGCUCACAGUUGCCUUCAUAACAAGAGCAUUUGCCACCAAAUUCUCAUUUGGUGAAGGUGGAGAAGCACCCUUGGGAACGCCUUGACAGGUCCCCAUCCAUCAUUCUGAGUCACUUCCAAGCCAGUUUUGCUCCCAGAACACAACUUUCCAGCCUUUCUAUAUGAUCCAAGGCCAUCACCUCAAGAAUUCAGCUACUGAACUUUGAAUAGCUGGAAACUAUUUUGAGAAGAGAUCCUUUUUGAAAACUGCUGUCAUUAGGUAUGAGCCAUAUGGACUCAAGGGUUGGCAAAAACCUGAGCAGUGUCUUGUUCGUUAAAACAGAGAUACUUGUCUGAGCAGUAAUGCUGCCAGCAUAUCAGCUAUGUUGUAUGCAGUGGAGUACAGAUGCAAUUCAAUGGCAUUGACAGUCCAAUUGCAAUUAUCUAAAUAACACCUAAUUUCAUUCUCCCUUCACCUCUCAUCUCCAUAUGUGUAAGUAAGAGGAUUCUAGAAAACAAGUUCAUGAUAGGCAGGCAUGUUUGGCUAUUUAUUUGUGGCUAGGACAGUAUCCUGAUGCUUCUAUUUCCCCAAGUUGUGUUUUCAUCCAACAUCCCAUGGGUCUCAGAGAGACCCAUGUAAAUAUAUGUUCAUUGUCCAACCUGCAGCCCGUGGCAGAGGCAGGAAUCCCAAGGUAGCUAUGAAUGCAGCCCAAUACAUUAGUGCAUGACAAAGGCAUCCCUUGAUGUCUCCUGAGAGAAUGCUGGUGAUGCUGCACAAGCGGGAACACCACAGCCCCCUGGUAGUUCCUGCUGCAGCUCUUCUGCUUCAGACCUUCAUGUUUGUGUUUUCCUUUAUUAACACUAACACUUUCUCCUUUCCUUUAGAAGACGUCAUUGUAAAUUUUUCUUCACAAGUAUGAUUCCUACAUCCAGCUGCCUAUCAAGCUUCCCAUCCCAAGGCAUUUAAAGUAAUAAAGAUGUCAACAAUAGUGUCACCUUGAUUGAUGCUAAUUAUGAGUCUUUAAUGGUUCCUCUACUUUGACCACUGCCUCAGCUGAUUGUGAUUUUUAUGGUUAAAAUAGUACCCUGCUGCUCAGCAGCUUCAUCAGAAGUUCUGGCCUUUCUUUAGUGAUUCUAUGUUCAGUCAUGUAAUCCCAGUAACAUACAUUAUCUUUGUUAAAAGCAAGCUUGUGACAUUCAUAGGGCUGAUUAAUGCACCUAUAAGGAGCUUGAAGAGCCUUUAUUGUGAUCACAGCCUAGGUUGUGAUCACUUUGUUUUCUGUGUAUCGAAGCUACCUGCAGUGUUACCUGGUUGUCUGAGAAUAAUUGAAGAUUUCCGUGCUGUCCCCACUUAACACAUUAAUGCUGUAAAAUAAGCCUAUGUAAAAGCUGCUAUGUUAGAAAUACAAGAUUUGUGACCCGAAGAUGUCAUCAGUAUGUGGCAGUCACACUAGCAGAAUGAAAAGCAAGUUAUAUGAAGGCCUUCCUUCUUGGGAGAAUCCUGUUAAACAGA